rnacentral:rRNA from 1 species
AGUGAACGCUGGCGGCAGGCCUAACACAUGCAAGUCGAGCGGCAGCGCGUCCGACCACCCUCGGGUGGUCGGAUGGCGGCGAGCGGCGGACGGGUGAGGAAUGCAUCGGAAUCUGCCUCGUUGUGGGGGAUAACGUAGGGAAACUUACGCUAAUACCGCAUACGACCUACGGGUGAAAGUGGGGGACCUUCGGGCCUCACGCGAUGAGAUGAGCCGAUGCCGGAUUAGCUAGUUGGCGGGGUAAAGGCCCACCAAGGCGACGAUCCGUAGCUGGUCUGAGAGGAUGAUCAGCCACACUGGAACUGAGACACGGUCCAGACUCCUACGGGAGGCAGCAGUGGGGAAUUUUGGACAAUGGGCGCAAGCCUGAUCCAGCAAUGCCGCGUGCAGGAAGAAGGCC